rnacentral:rRNA from 1 species
UUAACACAUGCAAGUCGAACGGUGAAGCCCAGCUUGCUGGGUGGAUCAGUGGCGAACGGGUGAGUAACACGUGAGCAAUCUGCCCCUGACUCUGGGAUAAGCGCUGGAAACGGCGUCUAAUACUGGAUACGAACCGUGGAGGCAUCUUCAACGGUUGGAAAGAUUUUUUGGUCAGGGAUGAGCUCGCGGCCUAUCAGCUUGUUGGUGAGGUAAUGGCUCACCAAGGCAUCGACGGGUAGCCGGCCUGAGAGGGUGACCGGCCACACUGGGACUGAGACACGGCCCAGACUCCUACGGGAGGCAGCAGUGGGGAAUAUUGCACAAUGGGCGCAAGCCUGAUGCAGCAACGCCGCGUGAGGGAUGACGGCCUUCGGGUUGUAAACCUCUUUUAGCAGGGAAGAAGCGAAAGUGACGGUACCUGCAGAAAAAGCGCCGGCUAACUACGUGCCAGCAGCCGCGGUAAUACGUAGGGCGCAAGCGUUAUCCGGAAUUAUUGGGCGUAAAGAGCUCGUAGGCGGUUUGUCGCGUCUGCUGUGAAAUCCCGAGGCUCAACUUCGGGUCUGCAGUGGGUACGGGCAGACUAGAGUGCGGUAGGGGAGAUUGGAAUUCCUGGUGUAGCGGUGGAAUGCGCAGAUAUCAGGAGGAACACCGAUGGCGAAGGCAGAUCUCUGGGCCGUAACUGACGCUGAGGAGCGAAAGGGUGGGGAGCAAACAGGCUUAGAUACCCUGGUAGUCCACCCCGUAAACGUUGGGAACUAGUUG